UGGGGAAUAUUGGGCAAUGGGCGAAAGCCUGACCCAGCAACGCCGCGUGAGGGAAGAAGGUUUUCGGAUUGUAAACCUCUGUCCUUGGGGACGAAGGAAGUGACGGUACCCAAGGAGGAAGCCCCGGCUAACUACGUGCCAGCAGCCGCGGUAAUACGUAGGGGGCGAGCGUUGUCCGGAAUUACUGGGCGUAAAGGGUGCGUAGGCGGUGUCUCAAGUCAGAUGUGAAAUCCCCGGGCUUAACUCGGGUGGUGCAUUUGAAACUGGGGUACUAGAGUGCAGGAGAGGGAAGCGGAAUUCCUAGUGUAGCGGUGAAAUGCGUAGAUAUUAGGAGGAACACCAGUGGCGAAGGCGGCUUUCUGGACUGUAACUGACGCUGAGGCACGAAAGCGUGGGGAGCAAACAGG
rnacentral:rRNA from 2 species